UACAGAGGGUGCGCGCGUUACUCGGAAUUACUGGGCGUAAAGCGUGCGUAGACGGUUUUGUAAGUCGGAUGUGAAAUCCCCGGGCUCAACCUGGGAAUUGCAUUCGAGACUGCAAGGCUUGGGUGCGGAAGAGGGAAGCGGAAUUUCCGGUGUAGCGGUGAAAUGCGUAGAUAUCGGAAGGAACAUCAGUGGCGAAAGCGGCUUCCUGGUCCAGCACCGACGUUCAGGCACGAAAGCGUGGGGAGCAAACAGG
rnacentral:rRNA from 1 species